rnacentral:lncRNA from 1 species
UCAUUAUGCAGGUUGUUUCUUAAACCCAUUGAACAUAAUGAUCGGACGUCAUCUCCCAAUUUUGAAUUCCCUGUAUUCGAAGCGGAAGAAGAUGAUGUUGAAAGGAUUCCUGACGAGAUUUCCUGACUUCUUGAGCAAGAAAAGAAGAUCACUCAGCUGCAUCUCGAGAAUCAGCAGAACAGCCAACUGGGGCAUAUAUGUAUAAAAAAAAGGAGGGUGCAAAACAAAAAAAAAUCAAAAGAAAUCAAAAGCAAAAUCAGAAAAAACAAAGAAAGAAAGAAACAAAAGAAAAUAGCACCCUCAAAGUCCCAAGUUGACUGAUGCUGAAUUCGAC